UACGAAAGGUGCAAGCGUUACUCGGAAUCACUGGGCGUAAAGCGCACGUAGGCGGACUUACAGGUCAAUUGUGAAAUACCUGGGCUCAACCCGGGAACUGCAGUUGAAACCGUUUGUCUUGAAUACCUGAGAGGGUGGGGGAAUACCUGGUGGAGAAGUGAAAUUCGCAGAGAUCAGGUGGAACACCGGAGGCGAAGGCGCCUGCCUGGCAGUGUAUUGACGCUGAGGUGCGAAAGUGCGGGGAGCAAACAGG
rnacentral:rRNA from 1 species